rnacentral:rRNA from 1 species
GACGAACGCUGGCGGCGUGCCUAAUACAUGCAAGUCGAACGCAGUGGGGACGGGUGAGUAACACGUGGGUAACCUCCCAUCAGAGGGGAUAACACUUGGAAACAGGUGCUAAACCGAUACUGAUGGAUGGACUCGCGGUGCGUGAGCCAGUUGGGGAGGUAACGGCUCACCAAGGCCACGAUGCUUAGCGGCCCUGAGAGGUGGAUCGGCCACACUGGGACUGAGAAACGGACCAGACUCCGACGGGAGGCAGCAGUGGGGAAUAUUGGGCAAUGGACGAAAGCCUGACCGAGCAACGCCGCGGGAGUGAAGAAGGUUUUCGGAUCGUAAAACUCUGUUGUUAGAGAAGCGGUAUCUAACCAGAAAGCAACGGCUAACUACGUGCCAGCAGCCGCGGUAAUUC